CCCCAAUCUCCAUUUCCGCCGGCGUCGGCUAUUCAAAUCACCUUCUCAUCUUGGAAGGUUCUCCACCGCCACUCAGUUCAUCACAGGUAAAGCUGUGCUGGGAUUUUUGCGCAUUUAUAUGUAUAUGACUUGAGAUCCAGUGAUUUAUGCGGAUGA